AGUGUUCCAAGAAAGUGAAAAAUUGAAAUUUCGAAAAACCCUCCCAGCGUUACCUGGGGAAAACUGUUACCUAACGAAUGAACUUUGAUUUUUUGAUUUCAGAUGAUCCAGCACCAAGUUAUGAGCAAUUCUACUUUUUUCCGAGGCACGUCCGAAUAAUUACUGCCAUUGCCGUAUUUUUUAAUAUUUCUCCGUGAAAAUUUUAUACAAUAUUCUUCGAAUGUCAUACUUUAAUGUACUAUUGGUUUUAAUAAAAAGAUUUUAACUGUGUCGUCACAAAUAAUUCACGAAAACAUGCCUUAUUUUUGUACGAAUUAACCUUAGCCCCCCCCCUUAAUACGAGUUUUGCUUAUGGAAUUAAGUUGUAGAAAAUAGCGGCAGUAAUUGAUCAAUGCGAGUAUCGAAAAUUGAAUUUCAAUUUCGAUGCUCUCGGAUUCAUUAAUUAUUUAAAUUUUUUAACAAUUAAUUUUAAUAUAAAAUAAACUAGAUCUCUAUCCUUUUCUAUUGCUUAAGAUAUUUUUAUUCCUUUUUAUUUCAACCGUAUUAUUAUUUUCAACAUAUUACUUCAAUUUUCAACGUUUAUCUUAAUUAUUCGCGUAUAAUUAAUAUUAUGAAAUCGGUUCAUUCAGUUUCUUUUAUAUCGUUCCAAAACGGGUAACUCAAGCUUUUCGAAUUUCUCAAAGCUAU